CACGUAGGGCGCAAGCGUUGUCCGGAAUUAUUGGGCGUAAAGAGCUCGUAGGCGGUCUGUUGCGUCCGCUGUGAAAACCCGGGGCUUAACCCUGGGCUGGCAGUGGAUACGGACAGACUAGAGGUAGGUAGGGGAGAAUGGAAUUCCCGGUGUAGCGGUGAAAUACGCAGAUAUCGGGAGGAACACCGGUGGCGAAGGCGGGUCUCUGGGCCGAUACUGACGCUGAGGAGCGAAAGCGUGGGGAGCGAACAGG
rnacentral:rRNA from 1 species